rnacentral:rRNA from 1 species
AACGAACGCUGGCGGCAUGCCUAACACAUGCAAGUCGAACGAGAACACCGGGUCUUUUGGCGCACGGGGGUGGAAGGGGUGGGGAGCUGCCCUUGGGUACGGAAUAACUCCCCGAAAGGGGUGCUAAUGCCGGAUCAUGUCUUAGGACCAAAGAUUUAUCGCCCUUGGAUGGGCGCGCGUUGGAUUAGCUGGUUGGUAGGGUAAUAGCCUACCAAGGCGAGGAUUCAUAGCUGGGCUGAGAGAAUGAUCAGCCACACUGGGACUGAGACACGGCCCAGACUCCUACGCAAAGGAGGAGUGGGGAAUAUUGGACAAUGGGCGGAGGCAUGAUCCAGCCAUGCCCGGUAAGUGAUGAAGGCCUUAGGGUAGUAAUGCUCUUUUACCCGGGAUGAUAAUGACGGUACCGGGAGAAUAAGCUCCGGCUAACUCCGUG